UAUAUUAAAGUGUAAGAUGCACUAUAGUUUUUGAAACUAUAAGGGAUAGUUUGAUUCUAUUUAAUGUAA
rnacentral:tRNA from 1 species